UACUCUCACACUCUCUGAUCUUAUGUUGGAUUUGGGAGUGGUGGACUUGGGUGUUGCUGCUUUACUGUGGCUCACCUCAAAUGUGUUAGUGCAACUCUUGGUUGGACAUAGUACGGCGUGAUAAGUUUCUUCGCCGGCGCCUCGCAAGAGGGUGGCUAAUCGGAGAGCUCUGUGCUUCCAAACUGUCUUUGGACAAUCUCUGACA
rnacentral:misc_RNA from 1 species